rnacentral:lncRNA from 1 species
CAAAACCGAACCGAACCGAACCAUUUUCAAAAAAUUGAAACCGAACCGACAUAGGUAGUAGACGGACCGAACCGAACCGCCUGGAGCCCGAAAACCGACCAUAACCGAACCGGCCGAAACCGAUCGGUUUCGGUCGGUUACCGAACCGACCGAUCUGCCCAAUUUUUUGAAAAACAGCCUGUAAUAUUCGAAAAAAAAAUAUAAAAAUCUGCCCAAAUCAAACCCCAAUCUAUGCAUUCAUUCGAUUUACCAACCACCAAAAAUUCGAAAAAAAAAAACUGACCAAAACAAACUUCAAAUUUUAAUCGAAAAAACAACAAAAAUUCGAUUUACCUUUCGGACGAGGGGAGAAAGGUGACGGGUGGAGGUCUGCGUGACUGCGUCAGGCUUCAGCGGCGGAGGAGAAGCCGAUCUGGAGUCCUGGACGGCGGGUCUGGGCCGUCUGGCUCG